AAUACAAAAAAUGCUGCCGUUACAGGUAUUUCACUAUAGGACUGGGCUGUAAUGCAAUAGAAAACAGACAUUUUCAUUUGUACAAGAAUUGAUUGUGGUAAUGCGAUCUACUUGUUCAUAUUUAUUAUGGUUUUCUUUAUAAACAACCCCACCCCACCACCUAAUUUUAAGCAUUUUAAUUCAUAAACGCAAACAAUAACAAAAACAUGAUGCAUAAGAUAACUCUAAAAACGUAAUAGCUUAUAUAGAAUGUGUGUGCGUGUGUGUGUGUGUGUGUGUGUGUGUGUGUGUGUGUGUGUGUGUGUGUGUGUUUUAAACGUAAACGGUCCUGUAUAGGCCUGUACACUGCCAUUUUGUACACUGGACAGUUUUACAACCUUCUCAGUCUGGCCAAGCAUUGUAUUUCUAGUUUUUUAACAUGGAAUCAAAUACAUAAACAAACUAACCCUUUAUGACAGUGAGCUAAAUUGUAAUUGGUUAAACUGAGGUGUUUCCCGUAAAUAAUUAGGCUAAGUGUUCAUUUUCAUUUUUUGUAUUUCUUACAAAUAAAAUACAAGAUCAAUGCGAAUAGAGUAAAAAAUGAUUUUAAGUUUAAUUUGAUCCGUACUGUAAAGUGACCAUUUGAAUCUCCGCGGUGGUUUAGUUCCAGGCGGUUGGAGGCAGAGUGAGUGCGGAGGGAACUGACCUCUUCAUGGGGGAGAGAGGGGGGACUGAGCCCCUGCGUGACAUUAAUCUGCCCUGUCACCCUGUCUCUGGGAUCUGCACAGGAGCAUACGGCACAGGAAGCAUGUCCUAACUGGAAGGUUUCUGCACACGUUGCCGUCAGGACUGAAUUUACUGAGGCAGAAAGAGUCUCAAGUCUCUCUCGUUCCAGGUUAGUUACUCUCUUUUUCUUUCUCUAGUGUUUUAAAGGCAUAGUUCACCCAAAAUUGAAAAUUCUCUCAUUAAUUACUCACCCUCAUUUUGUUCCAAAACUGUAAGACCUUUGUUCAUCUUCGGAACACAAAUUAAGAUAUUUAUGAUCAUAUCCAAGAGCUUUCUGACUCUCCAUAGACAGCAAUGCAACUGAAACAUUUUAUGGCCCAGAAAGGUAAUAAGGACAUCGUUAAAAUAGUCCAUGUGACAUCAGUGGUUCAACCUUAAUUUUUAUGAAGUUACGAGGAUACAUUUGUAUGCAAAGAAAACAAAAAUAACCACUUUAUUCAACAAUUCUUCUCCCCUGCUUUACAUCUGCCACCAUAAUGUAUUCUCAAAAUAUUAUUGUAACUUUAUCAAAUUAAGGUUAAAUCACUGAU
ensembl:lncRNA